rnacentral:tRNA from 1 species
GUUCUUAUAGUGUAUAUAGCACAUUAGAUUUUCAAUUUUUUAGUACAUAUUUGUUAUGUUAAGAAUA